AUGCUCAUUCAGCAGCACAUAUACUAAAAUUGGAAUGAUAGAAAGAUUAGCAUGGCCCUUGUGAAAGGGUGACACACAAAUUCGUGAAGCAUUCCAUAUUAAA
ensembl:snRNA U6 U6 spliceosomal RNA